rnacentral:rRNA from 1 species
AUUGAACGCUGGCGGCAUGCUCUACACAUGCAAGUCGAACGAGUGGCGAACGGGUGAGUAAUAUAUCGGAACGUACCGAGUAAUGGGGGAUAACCAAUCGAAAGAUUGGCUAAUACCGCAUAUUAUUCGAGCGGCCGAUAACUGAUUAGCUAGUUGGUGGGGUAAAGGCCUACCAAGGCGACGAUCAGUAGCGGGUCUGAGAGGACGAUCCGCCACACUGGGUGUUGGACACGGCCCAGACUCCUCCGCGAGGCAGCAGUGGGGAAUUUUGGGCAAUGGGGGCAGCCCUGGUCCAGCCAUGGCGCGGGUAUGAAGAAGGCCUGCGGUUUGUAAAGUACUUUUGUUAGGGAAGCAGUACCUAAAGCAUAAGCACCGGCUAACUACGUGCCAGCCGCCGCGGUAAUAC